ACUCCUACGGGAGGCAGCAGUAGGGAAUCUUCCACAAUGGGCGCAAGCCUGAUGGAGCAACACCGCGUGAGUGAAGAAGGGUUUCGGCUCGUAAAGCUCUGUUGUUAAAGAAGAACACGUAUGAGAGUAACUGUUCAUACGUUGACGGUAUUUAACCAGAAGGUCACGGCUAACUACGUGCCAGCAGCCGCGGUAAUACGUAGGUGGCAAGCGUUAUCCGGAUUUAUUGGGGCGUAAAGAGAGUGCAGGCGGUUUUCUAAGUCUGAUGUGAAAGCCUUCGGGCUUAACCGGAGAAGUGCAUCGGAAACUGGAUAACUUGAGUGCAGAAGAGGGUAGUGGAACUCCAUGUGUAGCGGUGGAAUGCGUAGAUAUAUGGAAGAACACCAGUGGCGAAGGCGGCUACCUGGUCUGCAACUGACGCUGAGACUCGAAAGCAUGGGUAGCGAACAGGAUUAGAUACCCUGGUAGGAUAGCG
rnacentral:rRNA from 1 species